GAUGAACGCUAGCGGCAGGCUCAACACAUGCAAGUCGAGGGGUAUAGGUUUUCGGACCUAGAGACCGGCGCACGGGUGCGUAACGCGUAUGCAAUCUACCUUUUACAGAGGGAUAGCCCAGAGAAAUUUGGAUUAAUACCUCAUAGUAUAAUGAUUCGGCAUCGAGACAUUAUUAAAGUUCCAACGGUAAAAGAUGAGCAUGCGUCCCAUUAGCUAGAUGGUAAGGUAACGGCUUACCAUGGCGACGAUGGGUAGGGGUCCUGAGAGGGAGAUCCCCCACACUGGUACUGGGACACGGACCAGACUCCGACGGGAGGCAGCAGUGAGGAAUAUUGACCAAUGGGCGCAAGCCUGAACCAGCCAUGCCGCGUGCAGGAUGACGGUCCUUUGGAUUGUAAACUGCUUUUGUACAGGAAGAAACAGUUCUACGUGUAGAACCUUGACGGUACUGUAAGAAUAAGGAUCGGCUAACUCCGUGCCAGCCGCCGCGGUAAAAC
rnacentral:rRNA from 1 species